UUUUCAGUAUCUCUGAUUAGCAAGCUUAUUUUUCAAUGAUUACUGACCACAAGAUUUACCACUUAUCAAUUGUUUAUGGCAGCACAUCUCAUGUUGGUAGAAGAAAAAUGAGGAUGGAGCUAAAUUCCCUUCAACAAAGGAAGAAAUUUUGAAGCGGUGAAUAUUGUCCAAAAAGCAUCGAAUAUCAUUGAAGAUUACAAAGGACUUGUGAAUACUCAUGUUGAUGUGGAGCCAACUAUCUCUAUAUCUUCUCCCUCAAGUUGGAGUCCUCCUCCCACGUCUACUUUCAGAUUGAACAUUGAUGCAUCGGAACUUGUUCAUAAUAAAUGGGGAGUGGUAGCUAUAGUUAGAGACUCGAAAGAUAUUGUUUUAGUAGCUGUUGCAUGGAACUUUGUUGCGCUUCCUGAUGCUAACAUCGCUGAAGCUCUUGAAUUUUGGUUGUCAAUUUAAUUUGUCUAUUAUAUGGGGUUUUUGAAACAUUGUGGUGGAAGGUGAUUCUCUUAAUGUGGUAAAGGCUUUAAAGUCUCAUAGUGAUGAUAAUUCAUACUUUGACUUGAUGAUUAAUGACCGUAAGAGUCUUAGUUGUUAAUUUUCUUCAUUUUUAGUUUCUCAUGCGCGAAGAGUUGGUAAGUUGUUGCUCAUGAUCUAGCUAAGUUUGCUUUAGUUCUGAUUGAUUCUAUUUGGAUUGAGGAAA